rnacentral:rRNA from 1 species
CAGGCCUAACACAUGCAGGUCGAGCGGAUGAGAAGAGCUUGCUCUUCGAUUCAGCGGCGGACGGGUGAGUAAUGCCUAGGAAUCUGCCUGGUAGUGGGGGACAACGUUUCGAAAGGAACGCUAAUACCGCAUACGUCCUACGGGAGAAAGCAGGGGACCUUCGGGCCUUGCGCUAUCAGAUGAGCCUAGGUCGGAUUAGCUAGUUGGUGAGGUAAUGGCUCACCAAGGCGACGAUCCGUAACUGGUCUGAGAGGAUGAUCAGUCACACUGGAACUGAGACACGGUCCAGACUCCUACGGGAGGCAGCAGUGGGGAAUAUUGGACAAUGGGCGAAAGCCUGAUCCAGCCAUGCCGCGUGUGUGAAGAAGGUCUUCGGAUUGUAAAGCACUUUAAGUUGGGAGGAAGGGCAUUAACCUAAUACGUUAGUGUUUUGACGUUACCGACAGAAUAAGCACCGGCUAACUCUGUGCCAGCAGCCGCGGUAAUACAGAGGGUGCAAGCGUUAAUCGGAAUUACUGGGCGUAAAGCGCGCGUAGGUGGUUUGUUAAGUUGAAUGUGAAAGCCCCGGGCUCAACCUGGGAACUGCAUCCAAAACUGGCAAGCUAGAGUACGGUAGAGGGUGGUGGAAUUUCCUGUGUAGCGGUGAAAUGCGUAGAUAUAGGAAGGAACACCAGUGGCGAAGGCGACCACCUGGACUGAUACUGACACUGAGGUGCGAAAGC